UACGUAGGGGGCAAGCGUUGUCCGGAAUUAUUGGGCGUAAAGCGCGCGCAGGCGGUUUAUUAAGUUCGGUGUUUAAGCCCAGGGCUCAACCCUGGUUCGCACUGGAAACUGGUAGACUAGAGUGUAGGAGAGGAAAGUGGAAUUCCACGUGUAGCGGUGAAAUGCGUAGAGAUGUGGAGGAACACCAGUGGCGAAGGCGACUUUCUGGCCUAUAACUGACGCUGAGGCGCGAAAGCGUGGGGAGCAAACAGG
rnacentral:rRNA from 1 species